rnacentral:rRNA from 1 species
AGCACGUAGGUGGGUUUGUAAGUCAGUUGUGAAAGCCUUCCGCUUAACGGAAGAACGGCAUCUGAUACUGCAGGGCUUGAGUACGGGAGGGGAGAGUGGAACUUCUGGUGGAGCGGUGAAAUGCGUAGAUAUCAGAAGGAACGCCGGCGGCGAAAGCGACUCUCUGGUCCGUAACUGACGCUGAGUGUGCGAAAGCUAGGGGAGCAAACGUGAGCAGAUAACCCGGUA